CCUACGGGAGGCAGCAGUAAGGAAUAUUGGUCAAUGGGCGCAAGCCUGAACCAGCCAUGCCGCGUGCAGGAUGACGGCCCUCUGGGUUGUAAACUGCUUUUAUACGGGAAGAACAGCAUCUACGUGUAGGUGUUUGACGGUACUGUAAGAAUAAGGACCGGCUAACUUCGUGCCAGCAGCCGCGGUAAUACGAAGGGUCCAAGCGUUAUCCGGAUUUAUUGGGUUUAAAGGGUGCGUAGGCGGCUUUUUAAGUCAGUGGUGAAAGCCUGAUGCUCAACAUCAGAACUGCCAUUGAUACUGAAGAGCUUGAGUACAGUUGAGGUUGGCGGAAUGUGUCAUGUAGCGGUGAAAUGCUUAGAUAUGACACAGAACACCGAUUGCGAAGGCAGCUAGCUAAGCUGUUACUGACGCUGAUGCACGAAAGCGUGGGGAGCAAACAGGAUUAGAUACCCUGGUAGUCCACGCCCUAAACGUUGAUAACUCGUUGUUAGCGAUAUACUGUUAGCGACCAAGCGAAAGCAUUAAGUUAUCCCACCUCGGAGGUACGGUCGCGAGAGUAGUAACGUUAAAGGUAAAGUUAGUACGGACGUAGAGACGUUGCCGACGGACGACGACGAGGGAGGAGGG
rnacentral:rRNA from 1 species